rnacentral:rRNA from 1 species
AGGACGAACGCUGGCGGCGUGCUUAACACAUGCAAGUCGAACGGUGACCCAGGGCUUGCCCUGGUGAUCAGUGGCGAACGGGUGAGUAACACGUGGGCAACCUGCCCCUGACUUCGGGAUAACUCCUCGAAAGAGGAGCUAAUACCGGAUACGACCACUUCGGACAUCCGAUGGUGGUGGAAAGUUUUUCGGUCAGGGAUGGGUCCGCGGCCUAUCAGCUAGUUGGUGGGGUAAUGGCCUACCAAGGCGACGACGGGUAGCCGGCCUGAGAGGGCGACCGGCCACACUGGGACUGAGACACGGCCCAGACUCCUACGGGAGGCAGCAGUGGGGAAUAUUGCGCAAUGGGCGAAAGCCUGACGCAGCGACGCCGCGUGAGGGAUGAAGGCCUUCGGGCUGUAAACCACUUUCAGCAGGGACGAAGCGAAAGUGACGGUACCUGCAGAAGAAGCACCGGCUAACUACGUG